AGCAGCCGCGGUAAUUCCAGCUCCAAUAGCGUAUAUUAAAGUUGUUGCAGUUAAAAGCUCGUAGUUGAAUUUCGGGAUCAAUUUAUCGGUCGUGCCAAUGGUAUGAACUGGUACAAUUGGUUUCUCCCUUCUGACGAAGCAUGAUGCCAUUAAUUUGGUGUCGUGGGGAAUCAGGACUGUUACUUUGAAAAAUUAGGGUGUUUAAAGCAAGCAUUAGCUUGAAUACAUUAGCAUGGAAUAAUGAAAUAGGACGUUUGAUCCUAUUUCGUUGGCUUCUAGGAUCGACGUAAUGAUUAAUAGGGAUAGUUGGGGGCAUUAGUAUUCAAUUGUCAGAGGUGAAAUUCUUGGAUUUAUUGAAGACUAACUACUGCGAAAGCAUUUGCCAAGGAUGUUUUCAUUAAUCAAGAACGAAAGUUAGGGGAUCGAAGACGAUCAGAUACCGUCGUAGUCUUAACCAUAAACUAUGCCGACUAGGGAUCGGAUGAUGUUAAUUUU
rnacentral:misc_RNA from 1 species